ensembl:lncRNA
GCUGACAUAACUUGGAUUUUGCUUCAAACUUGAACUUCUAGAAUAUUCUGUACUGUGUUUUCUUCUUCGAGUAGGAGAGCAUUCUGUAUAUCUUUUUUUCUUCAUUUUUGCCUGGAGUGUUUGUUUACCAUAGAGCUGUAUAAUAUCAUACACAUUUGUUUAACUCUCUUAAUCUCAAAGGAAGAUUGUUUUUUGCCUUCUAUUUGCUUCUCUCUCUCUACAGCUGCCAGAAGUUCUUCAAGUUUAUGCUUUUAUUAAAUAUUUAAGCACAUAUUUUCAGGGAUGAAACAUAUUCUCGGCUCAGAGCUGUGCUAGCAGAUGUGGUCUCUUCUGCCGUGGGGUGCUGGGUUCGUGGCAGGCUUAUGAAGUGACCUCAUGUAAUCAAUGGGAAAUAGAGAGAUGGGAGGUGUUAUGUUAUUUGAAGCUUCAGACUGGCCCUUAUUCCUAGAAGGCACUUGGAGGUCAGCAGCAGUGUAGUGAUAUGCAAUUCCAGGGUCAGCACCACAGAAUGAAAGUGAAACGAAUAAUACAUGCUGAUUUAAAGUAAAAUGUGUACCUCCUGAGAGAAAAUGGUGACAUUUAAAUUCUUGCAACCCAGGCAGAAAUCUUUUAUUCAGUGAAUGGCUCUGACCAGCAAAGUUUGCAAAUGAGAACUUCUUUAACAUUCGUGUGGCAUGGUCUAACGCCAAUUAAUUGUUUAUGGAGCACCUGCCAUGUGCUCAGGCUGGUUGUAGAGAGGAGCUGGUUUCAGAAAUAGCAUCAAAAAUGGCCUCUGUGACUUUGCCAGAAUACUGAGGGCUGAAUCCAAGCCUGUUAGAUCAUGUUUCUUCUGAAUCCCGCACUUCCCCUGACUGCGGCUUACAGGUUGUAUGGACCAUAAAGUGAGCUGACCUCACAAAGGGAUAGAAAGAAGUGAUGUGAGGUUGCUGAAUGACUUAAAAAAAGCGCCUCCUAUGGCUGAACCAACAGAAGCCAGGUGAUGGGGGAGCCUUUGAUGCAGACAUGGAGUACUGUUCUCUCAGCACUCUGUCUUACAGGUGACCCUCAAACAAGGCAACAUGACAGUUACCACAGACUCCUCUCAUCCAUCAUGAGAACACUGUGAUAGAAUUGUCUCUUAGGGACGCGGAGGACAGGCUCUGAAAGAAAGGAACUGAUCUGUUGAGCAUGAACUGUAGGGUACAGGAGGAAAAUGAGGAGACUCAUUGAAGAGCAAUUUCAGGAAUCCAAGUAAGACACGAUGGUGGCUCAAACCAGGGUGAUAGCACAAGAGGUAGUGGGAAAUAGAGUCUGGAUGUUUUCUGAAGGGUUUAAACAACGGGUUUUGAGGUGAUUUCCUGAACAACAUGUUUUGAGGUGACUGAAUAUGGGAUGUGGAAGUUUUUGUCUUAAGAAACUGGAUGACUAGAGAUGCAGCAGACUUCAGAUAUAGUAGGUGUUAUGGUUUGAAUGUCCCUUCCAAAAUUCAUGUUGUAAUUUAAUUGCUAUUGUAAUGGUAUGAAGCGGUGAGAUAUUUAAAAGGUGGAUUUAAUGCCUUGAUAAAAAGGCUUUCCGGAAUUGGCCAUCUUUUGCCCUUUUGCCUCCUGCCAUGGGAUGGUGCAGCAAGAAAGCCCUUACCAGAUGCCAACUCCUCAGUCUUGAACUUCCCAGACUGCAGAACUGCAAGCUAUAAAUUUCUGUUUAGUAUAAAUUACCCAGUCUCAGGAAUUCUGUAAUAGCAGCGAAAAUUGACUAAGACAGUAGGAUUGUGAAGAAAGAUAACUCAGUUUUGUACAUGCUAAGUUUAGGACAUCUACUAAACAUCAAUGUAAAGAUACUGAUUAGGGAGUUGAAUAUAUGAAUCUGGGAUUCAGCUGAGAAAUUGGAGUUAGAUGUACACAUUAAGAAGUUGCCAAAAUGUAGAUGACAUUUAAAGCCAUGGGAUUGGAUCAGAUGGAUAUGAGUAUAGAUAAUAAUAAGAAUACCCAGGACUGAAUCCAGGAGCAUGUCAAAAUUGAAGGAAGCCAUUUCGUUUUAUAGGUCCGGUGUAGAUCCAGUGUAGUGUUUAUUUAUUUCACAAGCAUGCAUGUGCUCGUGUGUGUGUGUGUGUGCGCACGUGUGUGUGUGUGUGUGUGCGUGUGUGUUUCCCUUUAGGUUAACCUAAACUUGUAUUGCAUGGGAAAAUAAAUUAUCAACUGAAUGGUUUUGGUGCAUGAAAAGCCAUUACUCCCUGCCAUCACUUGAAAAAUACUCUUAUUAGUCAGGGUUCUCAGAGAAACAGAGCCAAUAAGAUAUAUGGAGAGGUAUAGAUUUGUUUGUUUAUUAUGGGAACUGUCUCAUGUAACUAUAGAGGCCAAGAAACCCUGUGAUCUGCCAUCUGCAAGCUAAAGAACCAGGAAAGACGAUGACAUAAUUAAUUUGAGUCUAAAAACCUGAGAACAAGGGGAGUCAAUGGUAUAAGUCCUAAUCAGAGUCUGAAGGGGUAAGGUCAGAUGGUGUAAUUCCCCUACUGAAUCUAAAGGCCUAAGAACCAGGUGCUGAUGUCUCAGAUGAUGAGUGAAACAUGAAUCAUGAAACAUAAAUCAUUUCAAUAACCUUUCCAGGGUAGAAGAUACUCAAUGUAACUAACUUUCCACCAUGUGGCUGGUUGGCCUCAAUGGUUAAUAUCAUACUUGAGUAAGGAUGAGUAUCCUCAUUGGUCUCUGUGACUAGAAAGUUGAAUAUUUGUCAGCACCAGUACCUGGGUCACUGCUGAGGAGUGGGAGUGAAUAUUGCUAAAUCCAUGCACAGCCUCCAUACCAGGGCUAUGCAAAUCAUGCACUGUUGUUUGAACACUGGCAACUAAUGACAGAGGCUGGUCAAUUUCAACUGGCCAAAUGACUCUUCCGUGUCUAUUAAUGAUUUAGUGGGGAUAUUCUUUUGACGUGCAUGUUCUUUAGUGGUCAUUAAGAUGUAAUGCAAGUAUCUCCCUGCUUAAGGAGAGAGAGAGAGAGUACAAACUAGCCCAUCCUCCACCUUUUUUGUUCUAUCUGGGCCAUGAACAGAUUGAAUGAUGUCCUUCCAUAUUGGUGAGGGUGGAUCUUCUUUAUGCAGCAUACUGAUUUACUGAUUCAAAUGCUAGUCUCUCCCUGAAAGAGCCCUCACACAUUUAAAAAUAAUGUCUUACCAGCUAUCCUGGCAUCUUUUAGCCCGGUCAAGUUGACACACAAAAUUACCCAUCACAGGCUCCAAGAUAAUUCAAGAAUUUUGAAAUGAGAUCUAUGCUAGGUUCUGAGGAUAAAAAAAAAAAAUAAACAAAAGAGUUCUUAUCGUAGUCCAUCAUAUAAAAUAUAUAUAUAUGUGAUAAGUGAACAGAGAGGAGGAAACCUUUUCCACCUUUGCUGCUGCACUUUCUUCUUCUCAUAGAGGGAUUUCUUCUACUCAUAGAUGGAUUGAAAAACCUGGGUUUUAGCCUUUAUUCUUACCACUUAACUCAACAUCUCUUGUGGCCAAGCUCUAUUGAGUCCAUCUUAAAAAAUGUUAUUGAAUCUACCCAUUUCUUCCAUUUUUGAUGGGGCAGUCAGUGUUAUCUUUUUUUAAAAAGGCAAAAAACAAAGAAAGAAUGGAUGAAGGAAAGGAGGAAGAGAAGGAGGGAGAGAGGAAGGGAGGAAAGAAGUAGUACUUGAAACCCUUUAGAGACUUCCUACUAGCCUUGGGACAAUCUCUAUGCCUUUUGUUACCUGUUCUUGAUGCCUCUCCAAACCUGUGUUAGAGUUCUGAAACUCUUUCUUCCCUCGUUUGCAUCCACCAUGGCUAACACUUGCAUCUAGUCUUACUGCUAAAUAUUCUCCAGAUCUCAGUUUAAAUGUCUAGUCUGUGACCUCAUCCUUAUACUCCCACCAGACUACAAGUGCCCCUGGUAUUUGCUUCCAUGAGCCCAUUUACUUUUUAUCAUUACAAAUAUGAUAUGAUACUAUAUUUUGUUGCUCAUCAAGAUGCACUCAGAGCCUAGCAUUCCAUGAAGCAUUCAACCAAAA